rnacentral:rRNA from 1 species
UGCCUAAUACAUGCAGUCGAGCGGACAGAAGGGAGCUUGCUCCCGGAUGUUAGCGGCGGACGGGUGAGUAACACGUGGGUAACCUGCCUGUAAGACUGGGAUAACUCCGGGAAACCGGAGCUAAUACCGGAUAGUUCCUUGAACCGCAUGGUUCAAGGAUGAAAGACGGUUUCGGCUGUCACUUACAGAUGGACCCGCGGCGCAUUAGCUAGUUGGUGAGGUAACGGCUCACCAAGGCGACGAUGCGUAGCCGACCUGAGAGGGUGAUCGGCCACACUGGGACUGAGACACGGCCCAGACUCCUACGGGAGGCAGCAGUAGGGAAUCUUCCGCAAUGGACGAAAGUCUGACGGAGCAACGCCGCGUGAGUGAUGAAGGUUUUCGGAUCGUAAAGCUCUGUUGUUAGGGAAGAACAAGUGCAAGAGUAACUGCUUGCACCUUGACGGUACCUAACCAGAAAGCCACGGCUAACUACGUGCCAGCAGCCGCGGUAAUACGUAGGUGGCAAGCGUUGUCCGGAAUUAUUGGGCGUAAAGGGCUCGCAGGCGGUUUCUUAAGUCUGAUGUGAAAGCCCCCGGCUCAACCGGGGAGGGUCAUUGGAAACUGGGAAACUUGAGUGCAGAAGAGGAGAGUGGAAUUCCACGUGUAGCGGUGAAAUGCGUAGAGAUGUGGAGGAACACCAGUGGCGAAGGCGACUCUCUGGUCUGUAACUGACGCUGAGGAGCGAAAGCGUGGGGAGCGAACAGGAUUAGUAGCUGG